CAUGACUUUGGUCUCCGUCCUCAUCUGGACUCUCCUCUGCUGCUGCUUCACAGAGUCCAGAGGCCAGAUCACAGUGACUCAGCCUGGAGCAGUGAGCUCUGCUCUGGGAGCCUCCGUCUCCAUCAGCUGUAGGGUCAGUGAGGAGGUUUAUGGAGAUUUAUUAGCCUGGUACCAACAGAGAGAUGGAGAAACUCCUAAACUCCUCAUUUACCUUGCUAGCAUUCAAGAAUCAGGGAUUCCAGAUCGUUUUUCAGGCAGUGGAUCAGAGACUGACUUCACUCUGACCAUCAGUGGAGUUCAGGCUGAAGAUGCAGCAGUUUACUACUGUCAGAGUCUCUAUUGACUGUAAAUCCAGUCCAGCAGCUCGUCACUACUCUGGUUCACAAUAUUUCCUGUCCUGGUACCAUCAGAAAACUGGAGAAGCUCCUAAUCUUCUGAUCUACAGAACAUCAGACAGAUAUUCUGGAAUCUCCUCCAGAUUCAGUGGAAGUGGAGCAGGGAAUGGAGUUGACUUCACUCUGACCAUCAGAGGAGUUCAGGCUGAAGAUGCAGCAGUUUACUACUGUCAGGCUCAUUAUUAUAUCAACAGCCAGUAUCUGUUCACACAGUGAAAAAGCGUCGUACAAAAACCUCCCUCAGUCAGACUGAACAGAAACUGAACUGACUGCUGCAGCUGGAAGCUACUGCAGAGA